UACGUAGGGGGCAAGCGUUGUCCGGAAUUAUUGGGCGUAAAGCGCGUGUAGGCGGUUGCCCAAGUCGGGGGUGAAAGCCUUGAGCUCAACUCAAGAAAUGCACUCGGUACUGGGUGACUAGAGGACCGGAGAGGAUAGUGGAAUUCCCAGUGUAGUGGUGAAAUACGUAGAGAUUGGGAAGAACACCAGUGGCGAAGGCGGCUAUCUGGACGGUUUCUGACGCUAAGACGCGAAAGCGUGGGGAGCAAACAGG
rnacentral:rRNA from 1 species